AGCGGGAUGCUUCCCGGGAGGAGGGGACGGAGGCUGCAGAGUGAGGAGGAGGAGGAGGAGGAAGGCUUUGGGCUGCCUCUGCCGCCUACAGCAGCUUGUCUUCCUCCUCAAAGUGUUCUUCCUCCGUGUAGUUGCUUUUCAGGGCCUUUUUAAGCUUGGUCCAGAAGAGCUUCUGGGCCUCGGGCUGCGGAGACCAGCUGAGGUAGGUCUUCUUGAGCAUCACCUUCCGCAUGCGGUGGUAGGCGGAGAGCUCCGCGUUGGGGAUGGCCUCCAGGAAGACGAGGAUCAGCACGUCCUUGAGCUCGUCGAAGAGGCGGUAGCUGGCCAGCUGGAUCUCCAGGGAGCACCACUCGCUCUGCAGGUAGCUGCGGCUGAUGACGCAGAUGGUCUUGCGGCUGUUGUAGAUGCUGUCCACGAUGUUGUCGAUGAUGCUCUUCCCGGGCCUGAAGUCGCGGUGGUGGAGGCAGAGGCGGAAGGAGACCCGGGCCCCGAGCUUGGCCACCAGCUCCUGCAGCACCCAGCCCUCGUCGGCCGAGUUGUAGGAGAUGAAGCUGUCGUACUGGUACUGCUCCUCCUCCUGCCGCCGCCAGCGCUCGUUCACCCAGCUGCGGAGGAUGUAGAAGUGGUACUUGAGGCGCCAGUAGGCCCGGUGGUAGAGCAGCGGCAGCACCAUGAGGAGCAGCAGCGCCGGCGCCGUGCCCGAGAACAGGUAGAGCCCCACGUCCAGGAAGCAGACGUGCGUGUCGAACUGUGAGGCCGGCGGCUGCCGCGAGUCGCAGGUGUAGUUGUAGAGGUACACCACCUGCACCCGGCUGUUGUUCAGCCACGUCUGGAACCAGGUGUUCUCGCAGGUGCAGCUCAGCGGACACUUGCGCAAGUCCAAGUAGCGCAGGGCGCCCAGCCGCUGGGCCACGCUCUGGUUGACCGUCUGCAGCUCGUUCUUGGCCAGCUUCAGCGUCUUCAGGCGGCUGAGGUUGCCGAAGACCUCCAGGGUCAGGGAGUGGAGCCCCACGUUCUCCAGGUCCAAGGUCUCCAGGCGGGUGAGGUUUUUGAAGAUGCCUGGCGGCAAGUCCUGCAUCCCGUUGCUGCUGUCCGCCAGCGUCAGGUACCGCAGCUGGGCCAGGUCGUCGAAGACGUCGGAGGGGAUGGAGAGCAGCUUGUUCUGCGACAGGAAGAGGGUGCGCAGAGCCGUGAGGCCCUGGAAGAACUUGUGGGGGAUGAUUUUGAGGCCGUAGGGCUGCUGGGCCUGCAGCUUGAGGUCGUAGAGCUGGUGCAGGUACAUGAAGGGGGGCUGCUGGCUUUGCUGCUUCGUGAUGUACUGCAGGUUGUUGCCCUUCAGAUCCAGCACCUCCAAGGUGGCCUGCACCGGGUGGAAAAUGUCGCUGCUGAUCUCCUGGAUGUGGUUGCCGUCCAGGUAGAGCUUACGGAGGCGGCACAGCCCCUGGAAGGACUUGCCCGUCAAGUGCCGGAUGUUGUUGCCCCCCAGGUCCAGCGUCUGGAGCUGGCUCAGGUUGCUGAAGACGUGGGAGAAGAGGACGGAGACGUGGUUGUUGCGGAGGUUGAGCGUCUGGAGCUGGCCCAGGUCGGCGAAGCUGCUCUGGUAGAGGACGCGGAGGCUGGGGGCGUAGCCGAAAGCGUGGCGGCUGACGAUGAGGAUGCGGUUGAAGCGGUUCUGCAGGCCCUGCCGCUGCCUCCAGCUCAGCAGCUCCGCCACGC
ensembl:lncRNA